AUCGAGGUCACGCUGAUGAAAAAGGAACUACAGUACUGUUAUGUCAGUAACAUACAUCACAGUCGUACGUCUCCAGGCUUCUUAUCUUCCUUUGAACCUGACCUGGCUACUGUUUGGUGGAUUAUAGAGGAAAAGCUGUAAUGGGAAAGUAGGUUGGGUGAAGGGAUGAGAAAAAGGAAAGCAUCGUGGAGCACAUUAGCAGGCUUUCUCCAUGAAGAAGCAGGAUGAGUACCUUCUCACUGCCAAAGUAGUUGGAGGGACAUCAAACACCAGUGAUGGGAACACUGAACCUCACAUAAGAAGCACAUGAAGAACAGCAGUGAAACCAAGGAUUCUAGCAAGGCCAGCUAUUAGCAAAGCAGUAAGCAGGAACUGGACUAGAUACCAAAUGAUGGGGAAACAGACUCAUAGACCUAAGAACAUAGGAAGAAGAGAUGUAACAUCAACAGAAAGGCAAAAGGGGCAAUGCAGCAUCUCUGCCUUCUUCUGGGUAUUCCUCUUAAAUGGCUUGACAAUAACCACCAACCAGCACUGCCAUACAUGUGUCCUGUACCUAUCAGAGGCACUAGGGCAGUUUUGGAACAGAGAGCCCAUAGAAAGGCUACUGCUUAGAGAUAGCCAUUUUCUUCUUGGAGCUGGACCAGUGAAUUAGACGCAUGGAGGAGAGCUGGAAAAUCCCUUUUUGGAAGAGCUACACAAAACCAAAAUUUGGAAUUCGUAGCUAAUAACCAUAAAAAUUAAGAAAUGACUGUUGGAAGAGCACUGGAAAUCACCUGAUUAAGUUAAGAAAAACUAACUAGCUCAUGAGAAAAUUAUUUUCAGGCCAGCUGUAGCCUGUACCCUUUUGAAAAUCCCCUGACUAGUGAGUUCAUUUUUGUUGGAAUAUAGAAUUUUUCUUUUCUAAGCAGAUGUAAACUUGUCUUUCUGUGGUUGGCUUUGGAGCCCACAAGAUAAUUAAAUGGCAGUGCUAACUGAAAGCCUGGGCUGUGCUUAUAGGUUCAAGAGGCAGGUAGAAGACACUGGGUUGGGGAAGUAGGGCUAUGGAACUGUGGCUCUGGCUAAGAUUACUAAUGUCUGUGAGCGCUGGAAGAAGGGAAAUAGAAAUGAAAAAACAUGAAUAUGGUUGAUGGGCCAGACUGAGUGUUGAGGUCCUAUGAUGUAUCAAAGAAUGGCUUACAUGAAAGUUAUAAGGUGUGGA
rnacentral:lncRNA from 10 species